GGUGGGGUAACGGCUCACCUAGGCGACGAUCCCUAGCUGGUCUGAGAGGAUGACCAGCCACACUGGAACUGAGACACGGUCCAGACUCCUACGGGAGGCAGCAGUGGGGAAUAUUGCACAAUGGGCGCAAGCCUGAUGCAGCCAUGCCGCGUGUAUGAAGAAGGCCUUCGGGUUGUAAAGUACUUUCAGCGGGGAGGAAGGGAGUAAAGUUAAUACCUUUGCUCAUUGACGUUACCCGCAGAAGAAGCACCGGCUAACUCCGUGCCAGCAGCCGCGGUAAUACGGAGGGUGCAAGCGUUAAUCGGAAUUACUGGGCGUAAAGCGCACGCAGGCGGUUUGUUAAGUCAGAUGUGAAAUCCCCGGGCUCAACCUGGGAACUGCAUCUGAUACUGGCAAGCUUGAGUCUCGUAGAGGGGGGUAGAAUUCCAGGUGUAGCGGUGAAAUGCGUAGAGAUCUGGAGGAAUACCGGUGGCGAAGGCGGCCCCCUGGACGAAGACUGACGCUCAGGU
rnacentral:rRNA from 1 species